rnacentral:rRNA from 1 species
CCUACGGGAGGCAGCAGUGAGGAAUAUUGGUCAAUGGCCGGAAGGCUGAACCAGCCAUGCCGCGUGAAGGUCAGUGCCCUAUGGGCGUUAAACUUCUUUUGUGCGGGAGCAAUAAUGGUCACGUGUGGCCAGACGAGAGUACCGUAAGAAUAAGCAUCGGCUAACUCCGUGCCAGCAGCCGCGGUAAUACGGGGGAUGCAAGCGUUAUCCGGAUUUAUUGGGUUUAAAGGGUGCGUAGGGUGGGAGGUAAGUCAGCGGUGAAAUGCCCCCGCUCAACGGGGUGAAGUGCCAUUGAUACUGGCUUGCUUGAAUGCGGAUGCCGUGGGAGGAAUGUGUGGUGUAGCGGUGAAAUGCAUAGAUAUCACACAGAACACCGAUUGCGAAGGCAUCUCACGAAUCCGCGAUUGACGCUGAUGCACGAAAGCGUGGGUAUCAAACAGGAUUAGAUACCCUAGUAGUC